rnacentral:rRNA from 1 species
UUGUCCUGUGACUGCGUACCUUUUGUAUAAUGGGUCAGCGACUUAUAUUCAGUGGCAAGGUUAACCAUCUAGGGGAGCCGUAGGGAAACCGAGUCUUAACUGGGCGUUCAGUCUCUGGAUAUAGACCCGAAACCAGGUGAUCUAGCCAUGGGCAGGUUGAAGGUUGAGUAACAUCAACUGGAGGACCGAACCGACUAAUGUUGAAAAAUUAGCGGAUGACUUGUGGCUAGGGGUGAAAGGCCAAUCAAACCUGGAGAUAGCUGGUUCUCCCCGAAAGCUAUUUAGGUAGCGCCUCGGACGAAUACUACUGGGGGUAGAGCACUGUUAAGGCUAGGGGGUCAUCCCGACUUACCAACCCUU